AGCUAGGGGGAGGGGAAAGAUGCCGGCGGCAGAACUCCUGAGGAAGAGGAUGUGCCUGGCGGGCUGCCCCUCCCGGGCUCCCCGCCGGGCUCAGGCUGUGGGACUGGACCGCGGGAGGAGGCUACUCCAGUCUCCAGAGACGGACUCCCGCUGACUGCCCCCCACCGCCACCCGGGGCCUCUGGGUCGCUGGGAAGGGGCCCUCGGGAAAGACACCAGAGCCUGGGAGGGUGCAGCCGGGCUCACAAGGGCUUGGUGAGUGGAGGGAGGCCCUCCUGUUCCACAUCGCGGUCGGGGUGCAGGGGCCAGCGCUCCACGGUCCAUCGGGCCCAAGCUAGGGCGCCGCAUCACACUCGCCCCUCACCCCAUCCCCAACCCUGCCGCGUGGGCUUUGGCACAGAGAUGGCAAACACCCCCAGGGCCUUGUGCCCGGUAAUUACCAAGCAAAUUCCCAGCGAAUUCCUCUCCCCACCCCGGGGCAGCGCCUGCUGCGUGUUCUCUGAUUCAGGCCGGGAAUGUGCAAACAGCGCCCGGGAACCUGCGGGGACCCGUAAUUGCUCUGGAGUUGCCCGGGACUUUGCAAGGCUGGCCUAGGAAACUUUCUACUGUGAAUAACGCUGAUCCACAUGCCAAGCUCCAAGCAGCUGACGUAUUAAUGAGCAGAGCUGUGGCCUGCCUGCUCUUUUGUGUCCCCCUCAGAACUUGAACAAAAGGCGCACUCCAUGGGUGUUGGGUAGGUGGUUGAUUGGAUUUUUACUGGCAGGAAGCUCCACUGGCUUCCACAGCUGCUGAGGUUGGAGAAGGAAAGGGGGGAGGAGGCGUGGUGGCCCACGGGAAUGGGUCCCCCUAUGAGCAGCUCAGUCCUGGGGUGUGUGCCACGCCUCUUCCUUGGGUAGAGUGCCAGGCAGACACUGUGGGUCCCUGUGAAGGUGGCAAAGCAGAUGUGUUCCCAUCCCCCUCUCAAUCUAGUAGACCCUUCAUUCCUCUUCUUCAGACAGGGAAGCUCUCCGCCCCGGGAAUCUGCAGGAUGAGCUGAACUGGACUUGCUUACAGGAGGAUAAUUCGUAGGGCCAGCUGUGCUUACUUUUCUCGGGCUGCCGUGGGAUGGAGCUCCGUGGAUCUCCCGGGCCAGUAAGGGUUUGAAACCAAAGGAGGCUUGACUCCUGCCUCCCACCCGGGGAGGGAGGUCGGGCUGUAGAGAGAGAUACACAGGUUAGUUCUAACAGGUGUCUGCUUUCUGCCUCCAGCUCAGGGUGCCCACACCUGCUGCUACGUGUCCAGGUACCCCUCCUGUUUGAUCCCCACUGCGGGAGGCUGGGGGUGGGGAGACCGGGGAAAGCUGGGAGGAGGGGAAGGAGAUGUAACAUACUGAGCCGAGAGCACUCAGGGAAAUAAAGGAUCUAUUUUUUUUUCCAUUUGUUCUCAGCAAACAUUUGUCAUUUAAUUUCUUCCUAAUUACACAAUUACGUAAUUAUGUAGUAUUAGUAAAAUAAAGCCUAAAGACGUUUGAGUAAAGAAUUACUUAAGUAAAUAAUGGCUGACUAAAGUAAUUAUUUCCGGGGUUUUCUUUUUUAAAGUAGAAUUGGAUGAAAUUAGUCCAGGCAUUGUUGCGGAGCUGAGUGGGAGUGGGGACUGUACGGCCAGGGGGCAGAGAUAAGGCUCCCCUGGUCCUCCUGGGGUUUAGCUCCCAGCAUCUUGGAACUUUCCUCCCUCUGUAGAUGAGACGCUGAUGGCAAAUUCCAGCUCUGCUAUUGGCUAGUGGCUUGGGAACUACCUUCCGUUUUGAGCCACACUGGGCCUGUCAGAAGGGCUUGUUCCUGCCCCAGUGGGAAAGGAGGAAGAGGAUGAAGUUCAGGGCAGAAGGAAGUACUCAGUUACUGAGGGCUGUGCCUCGGCCUCCCCAGGUUUACAAAGAGGCAGCGAGACAUGAGACCACCAGGUCCGUAAAGAGACCACCCCCCAGCUGCAGGGUGAGGCACUAGGUCCUGUGAAGUGCUGGGGGGUUAUAUGGUGGCAGAGGUGGACGGAGGAUCUCAGGGCUGCAAAGCUACCUGGAGACCUUAUGUGGACAGGUCGCCCGGGGUCAGGUGCAGUUUGCCCUGAGCGUUUCCUUCUUGGCUUGCAGGGCUGCAGAGAACACAGUUUUCUUCAAGGUUGGCACUCAGCUCCCCUAAGCCCCGGUAGACUUUGACCUGGCAGUGUGCUUAAGGGGGAAGGAAGCAGCCCUCCCAGAAGGGGCUGGGAGGCCUGGGAUGAAGGGAACUCUUGGAUGAGGCUGGUGGUGAUACUGCCAGAGCACCUCCUGGAUGCCUGGUUCAAUCUGCCCUUGAUGAGACCAGAGGUCAGCUGUCAAGACACGAGCCCCUUUUCUCUACACUUCAGAGUUUGGUAAAGGACUGACCCAGCAGCUUCUUAUAGAAGGAGAUUCCUGGGGGAUCAGGCCGACCUGUGCUCCCUCCAUCUUUCCCCUGUUCCCAUCACUACAGUGCUUGCUCAUCCUUCAGAAGAUAGUCACUCAUUCCUUUGAUCUGGAGGGCUUGUCCCUCUCUGAAAUCCUCCUAGUGCAAUGGAGCCCCAGACAAGGUAAGUCCUUAAGACUUCUCAGCUUUCUCCUUAGGACAACUGAACCAAUAUAUUCCUCCCCUGGAGCUGUGUUUUAGUUUCCUGAGGACUUGCAGUCCCUGCUGAGGCCCUGGGAAGCUGAGGUAUAUGUCACUGAUCUUCUGUACUUCUGGUGCUGGUGGGUGUCAGACAGAGUUGGGGAUCACGCCGCCCUGCCUGCUGCAAAUCUCUGAGAGCUCGAAGGAGACCAGCUUGAACAUGAAGCAGGUAAGCCUUCUCAGCCUUCUCACUGGGGCCAUGGCUUUGGGCCUGUGAUUGGCAGUUCAUUGACACCAGCAUCCUUUGAGAAAGGAACAUAGAAGAGGCUUCUGGAAAGUUACUGAAGCCACGGGAGAGUAUUGGAAAGGCAUGCUGACACAGUCCUUCAGGCCAAAAACUGUAAGAAGCACUGGGAGAGAAUAUGAGCUCCAAUGACUCAGCUAUACAACUGCUUCCUCUCCUCCUGCCUGGCAAGACCCCAGGAGAGGUUUCCAAGACAUUGGUCUGUCUGCGGGGUUGUGCCAGGACUCAGCACACCCUCUUAUAUCGGCAGAGAGCAAGUACAAGAAAUGACACACGUUGCUGAUACAUGUACUACAGUACAACAGUGAUAUCUCACAGGAUAUGAUGGUUAAAGUGAAAUGGGCUUCUAUCAAAACAAUAAAAGCGUGUCUAAUGCCAAAAUAUUUUACACUGCUUCUGCUUUUUAACUUAAAUUAAACAAAAUUAAAAAUUCAGUUUUUGGUAGCAUUAGCCAGAUUUCACGUGCUCAGUAGCCAAGCAUGGCUAAUAGCUACCAUUUCAGACAGUUCAGGUCUAGCACCUAAUUGAAAUUUUUCAUGAUGCAAAUGCACUUAAUGCAUCCUGAACAGAGAGAAGACAUAUCAGGCUGGAGGAGGGCAUCUGUACAGAAGAGAAGCGGAGAAUGAGGCUGGAAUGAUGCGGGGGCCCAUGGGAAAGGGCCACUGUCAGUUUCUGAAAGAGGAUAAUGCAGUGGGAAUGGUAAUUUAAGAAGAUUAACCUGGAUGCAUUAGACAGAAUGGGUUGCGAGGACACAGAUUAGAGGCAGGACCAUCACAUUAUGGGGAAGGGGAGAUGACAAAGCUGUGAACUACAGUGAGAGUUACCAGAAAAGGAAAAAAAAUAUGUCUGAGAAACAUUAUGAAGAGUUACUAUGAAAAGACGGCCUCUUCAAUAAAUAGCAUUGGGAAAACUGGGCAGCUACAUGCAAAAGAAUCAAAUUGGACUGCUUUCUCAUACCAUAUACAAAAAUAAGCUCAAAAUGGAUUAAAAACUUACAUGUAAGACCUGAGACCAUAAAACUCGUAGAAGAAAACACAGGCAGUAUGCUCUUUGACAUUGGUCUUAGCCAUUUUUUUUUUAAAUAUAUGUCUCCUUAGGCAAGGGAAACAAAAGCAAAAAUAAACAAAUGGGACUACAUCAAACUAAAAACCUUUUGCACAGUGAAGGAAACUAUCAACAAAAUGAAAAGCAGCCUGCUGAAUGGGAGAAAGAUAUUUGCAAACAAUGAUAAGAGGUUAAUAUCCAAAAUAUACAAAGAACUCACACAACCCAACAUCAAAAAAACAAACAACCUGAUUAAAUAUUGGGCAGAGGACCCAAAUAGUUUUCCAAAGGAGACAUUUAGAUGACCAACAGACACAUGAAAAAAUAUUCAACAUCACAAAUUAUAAGGCAAAUGCAAAUCAAAACCACAUUGAGGGCUACCCUGGUGGCGCAGUGGUCAAGAAUCCGCCUGCCAAUGGAGGGGACACAGGUUUGAGCCCUGGUCCAGGAAGAUCCCACAUCCCGCGGAGCAACUAAGCCCAGGCACCACAACUACUGAAUCUGUGCUCUAGAGCCCAUGAACCACAGCUACUGAGCCCGCGUGCUACAACUACUGAAGCCCGUGCACCUAGAGCCAGUGCUCUGCAACAAGAGAAGCCACCGCAAUGAGAAGCCCACGCAUGGCAAUGAAGAGUAGCCCCAGCUCGCCACAACUAGAGAAAGCCCGCAUGCAGCAAUGAAGACCCAAUGCAGCCAAAAGUAAAUAAAUAAAUAAAUAAAUUUAUUUAAAAAAAAAACACGUUGAGAUACCACUUCACAUUUAUGAGAAUGUCUAUUAUCAAAAAGACAACAAAUAAGUGUUGGCAAGAAUGUGGAGAAAAGGGAACCCUUGUACACUUAUUGGUAGGAUAGUAAAUUGGUGCAAUCACUAUAAAAACCAGUAUGGAGGUUCCUAAAAAAAAUUGAAAAUGGAAUUACCAUAUGAUCAAGCAAAUCUACUUCUGGGUAUUUUCCCAAAGAAAACAAAAGACUAAUUUGAAAAAAUAUAUGCACCCCAAUGUUCAGUGCAGCAUUAUUUACAAUAGCCAAGAUAUGGAAGCAACAUAAAGGCCCAUCAAUAGAAAAAUGGGUAAAAAAGAUGUGGUGUAUAUAUACAAUGGAAUAUUACUCAGCCAUAAUAAAGAAUGAAAUCUUGCCAUUUGCAACAACAUGGAUGGACCUAGAGGGUAUUAUGUUAAGUGAGAUAAGUCAGACAAAGUUAAACACUGUAUGAUAUCACUUAUAUGUGGAAUCUAAAAAAUAAAAACAGGAGAAAAACCAUAACAAAACAUAAACAGACUCAGAGAUACAGGUUGCUGCUGUGGGUGAUGGGGGAAUAAGUGAAAUAAGUGGAAGGGAUUGGGAGGUACAAACUUCCAGUUAUAAAAUAAAUAAUGAAUAAAUAAAUGUAAUGUACAGCAUGGGAAAUACAGUUAAUAAUAUACUAAUAACUUUGUAUGGUUACAGAUGGUGGCUGGAACUGGUCAUGGUGAUCAUUUUGGAAUAGAUGAGAGUGUCAAAUCACUAUGUUGGGCACCUGAAAUUAAUAUAAUAUUAUUAAUUGAGCACCCAUCAUGUGCUAGAGACAAAGAAGUUUAACAGACAUUUUCCAGGCCUGAUGAAGGACCAUUGAGAGGGUGGUGAUACUUCAUCAAAGACAACAAAAUAAAAUUUCCCUCUUAUUUACUUCUGCUGUACCUGGCAUACCUGUUGGAAUUUGGCCUGGGAUGGGGAGUGGAGGCGGCAGGAUGAAAGGAGUUUAAAAAUUGUUCAUGUUUCUUAAGCAUUUAAUAUGGGUCAGGCACAGUUCUAAACAUUUCAUUGUGACUUAGCAUCACAAUGAAGAGCAUUAUUUCCCCCUUGACAGGUAAGAAAAAUGAGGCACAGAGAGAUAAAGUCACUUACCUAAGGAAGCACAACUGGUAAGUGGUAGGCGGGAUUUGACUCCUACAAUUUUUGUUGAAUAUUCACUGUGAGUUGGUAAAAAGUGUCAGUCACCUUGCUGUGGGCUGAUUUUUGCAUCCUCCCCAAAUUCCUUUGUUGAAGCCCUAACCCCCAAUGUGAUAGUAAUAUUUGGAGGUGGGGCCUUUGGGAGGUAAUAAUGUUUAGAUGAGGUCAUGAGGGUGAGACCCUCUUGAUGGGAUUAGUGCCCUUAUAAGAAGAAGAAGACAGAGAGACCCUACUCUGUCCAUGCACAAGCACCAAAGAAGGGCCGUGAGAGCACACGGCAAGAAGGCGGCCGUCUGCAAGCCAGGAAGAGGACCUUCAGCAGGAACUGAAUCUGCCCACACCUUGAUCUUGGACUGCCCAGUCUCCAGAACUGAGAGGAAUAAAUGUCUGUUGUUUAAGGCACCCAGUCUAUGGUGUUUUGUUAAAGCAGCCUGAGCUAACUAAGAC